GGCUGUCGGGUUAUUAUAUAUUAUGCGAUAGAUCAAUAUUUAUUUCUAAUUGAUCCGGUAUAACAUUAAGUACGACGGUGUUAAUAGAAAGGUAACUGAACCGAGGAAUUUUCACUACCAAACUAACCGAUCGCAGCUUACGAUUCUCCGACUUGUGUACAGACACAAACACACACACACACAAAUACACGCGCGUCGCAGCGAUAGAAAUUGCAAGCGAACAAGCAAGAAUCUGUGAAAGGAUGAAAAAA